AUGUGAUACCGGUUACGUUGGUGUACGAUGCAAUACUAAAAUUCAGGCAGUUUCCACACCUGCUCAGUAAUUGCCAACCGAAGGCAGCAACGAUGAAAAACGAACAGGAACAACAGGAACAAUGGGUAUUGCUGUUGGUGCUGCAAUUGGAGUUGUAGUGAUAGUAGCAGUAAUCAUCAUUCUACUUGUAGUACGAAGGAGGAAACUAUUGAGGGGUCGAGCAAAUUUUGAUAAUCCAAUUUAUACUAAUAAAGCUAAUGAGGCGAGAUUGACUGUCAGGGAAAACCAGUGGUAGCUUUGUGAACAAAUCAGUUGCUACAAUAUAAGUUGAGGAUGAGCUUUCAUUGUUAGCAAAUUCACAGCCAUUGCUUAUUAUUAAAAUAAUGAAUAGAUGUAGAGUGUGUAACUACAGCUAGACAACUUUGCAGUGUUGAGUUAUACUGGUAGUAAUGUUAUGGGUACAUGUCACAGGUAACAAUGACCAAGAAACC